AAGGUCUCUCAGGACAGUGAAACUACUUUGGUUCUGUCAAACAUAGGCUUUUCUUUGGCAUACCCUGGACCCAGAGCAAGGAGGGAGUAGGAAACACCAUCCCAGAGCUGUGUCUGCACUAGGGGGCUGUGCUUGCAUGGCGAUAAGAGGAUUAGAAGUUUAGAGAAAGCUUUGUCCUCGUGUGCAUCACUCCUGACUGGCACGAGAGCUCCAGGACCAUCAGCUCAUCAGGAAAUCUCCUGUCUGUCCAGAGCACGCAGUGAAUUCCCACCUUUGCACUCAAGGCACAGCAUUAAGUGCUUCCAAAAUUCCCGUGACGGCUCCAUCCUGCAACGUUCUGAACCUCCUCACUGUGCUUCAGCAAUGCGAUCAGGUCCAGAUACGAGCUCAGGACUGGACCUACUGCAACAAGCAGUGUGAACAAUGCUGGGCUCUUACUGCCAUGCUCAGUGAGUUUCUGGCUGCAUCUAGAGUGCCAAAAAAACUUAUUGCAGGAAACAGGAGUGUCAUUUCUCCUUGUCUGCUGUGAGCGAGUCCUCAUCGGUUCAAGUGACAACACGUGCAGGUGCCUCUCUGCUUUUUCCACACCGGGUGAGUCCUUUCAGCAAGCAGGGAGGGAACAGCUGCUGGGUGAAAACAAG
ensembl:lncRNA